CAGCUCUGAAGAUCAUUGUAGCAGGAGAUCCACAGCAGGAAGUGAUGCCACAACAGACACACAGUGUCCAUCCUGAUCCUAACAGUGACACGUACACAGCUCUGAACAUGAAGACCAGGUCACCAGAGUAUGACACCCUGGCAAAUGUGAGGGACUUCCCCAG